rnacentral:lncRNA from 1 species
UUCUUUUUUCUUCCCUCUAAGGUUCUCUGUGAGUAGUUCUCCUAAAAGCUGAAAAAAAAGAAAAUUUCGUGGUUCGAGAGAGGAGGGUUCCAGAAAUUAGGGGCUCCAAAUUUUGAUUGAGUAAGUUGGGUUUGAUUCUUUAGUGGUCCGAAAGGGGAAGGAGAAUUCGAGGUCUUCGAGUUGACGAUGAUGCUUCUCUAGUGGUGACUCAUCUAGACGUCAGUUCGUUCUCCCAUUUGCUGCUCUCUGAAAGGUAACAUCCUACUCCAUUCAAGCUUUCGAUUCCUUCUUCUUCAUCUCAUCAUUCUGUAGUCAUGUGUAAUCUUGAGAUCAUUCUAUGUGCUGGAUCUGUUUUGCCGUAGGCCGUCUUAAUGUUCAAUAUUUUGUGUGUUUAAAUCUGGUGUGCACACUGCUGCAUUGGUGUUCAUCUAAUAUGGUCGUUGGAUUUCCGGAAUGAUUAGAUUCAAGAAUGUGUUUGACUAGUAUGUAGGAUUGUCGUGUCUUGAUUGAAUUUGGAAUGAUUAUGAUAUUAACGUUUGGUGUAUCCUCCAACUUCCUAUUUAGUAAACAGAAAAAUCUGGUGUUUUCCUCAUAUUCAAUGCUAGUAUGUGCCAGUUUAAACCCGUUUUGAUGCGUUCUUUAUUUUCAUCAUGCUCGAAAUGUCUGAAGUGACUUCAUAAUUUUCUUUACGUUCCUGUGUUUAACACUAACAGUAAUCAGGAUGGGAUUUAGUUAUGUCGCUAGACAAAAUUUUGGACUUUGUUAUUUUAUCUUAGCAGGCUUCCUUUCUUCUUUUGAGAAAUAAUUUAAUUUCUUUAUAAUGUUUUGGGGCUUUGAAAGGAUUGUUUCUUUGUAAAAGACUUAAAAUAAUCUUCUUGUGAGUCAGCAAGUUGUUAAAGGAAGGUUUUUGCUUGUUCCUUUGUUGGAUACCUGUUCGCUUGUACAUUCUCUUCGUAGAAACUACGCUCAUGUCCCUUGAUUCAUAUUAUCAAUGGGAUUGGUGGGGUUAGUUCACAAACGAUGUGCUUAAACCUAAAUGAGUGUUAAAAGAUAAGUUUUUUUGUUCAAAAUUAGUGAUUUGUUUGCUCAAACGAUCUCAUCCUUUGAGUUUUAGUUCGGACGAAGAGUUAGUAGAAUUUUUGAGUCAUAAUAAUGCUAUCGAAUUUAGCCUAAUUUCUUAAUGUUUCGUCCGUUGUUCAUACUAGAUUGAAUCACAUUGUUAAUUAUUUGGUCUGUGUUGAAUGAACGUUUCUCAAGUCAUUGUCAUCAUAUAAUCGUUAUGAAUUGUCGUUCACAAGGGUUCGAAUAUAUCCCUUUUUCUUUUUGCAAAUUAUAAUAAGCUAUGUAUGAUCAAUUAUUAAGUUAGAUAGGCACGGCUUUAUAUCGUGUUCAAUAAUUUAUGCUUGGCCAGCUUGAUGCAGUAGAUUAAGACACGUUUGGUAUUGGUGCAACGGUUUAUACAUGUUUGUUAUUUAAAUAGAGUGUGAAUUAAUAGUUUAUUAAAUUCUUGUGCACAUGCUAAUUCACUUUUUUAAUCUUGUUUCUUGCAUGCACCUGCUCCGGAGUCUAAAUGGGCUCCUUCCCUUUUGUAUUUUACAAGUGGGCCAAUGAGGCCCCCUCUCUCGAGCUAAAUUCCUAGAAGAAGUCUUAACAUCGGUCUCAUGACAUAUCAAAUUCAAGAAGUCGAGAAAGAAGGAACAUGGGAAAAAUCCCAUGUUCGAAGCAAAAAAGGAGUUUCAUUUUCUUUUCUUGUCAUCUUAUUUACAUAAUUAUUGUUGUCCCCUAUUUAUUCACCUAUUUAUUUCUUCAUUUAUAUAUUCCGGGCCUCGAAGUCAAAGUUGUAUUUAAUAGAGGUACAGUAAGACUCAAGCCAAAAGCUCGGAAACUAGAAUUAGGACAGGUGGACGGGUCAAAAAUCGAACUAGAAUAGGGCAGGGCGACAGUUUGGGCCUAAAAGGCUAAAUCACUAUUUCUCCCCGUUCCCCUUUUCCUUUUGUUUACUUGUUUAGUACUUAUUGCGAACCUAGCUAAAUCCCUAAC